UCCUACCUCGCAAAAGCUACGUUCGGCCCAGC
rnacentral:piRNA from 1 species